rnacentral:tRNA from 1 species
GGUUGUGGCUCAGUGGUAGAGCACUUGCCUAGCAUGUGCAAGGCCCUGGGUUUGAUCCUCAGCACCA